rnacentral:rRNA from 1 species
AAUAGAUACCCUGGUAGUCCACGCCGUAAACGAUGAGUGCUAAGUUGGUUAGGGGGUUUCCGCCCCUUAGUGCUGCAGCUAACGCAUUAAGCACUCCGCCUGGGGAGUACGGUCGCAAGACUGAAACUCAAAGGAAUUGACGGGGGCCCGCACAAGCGGUGGAGCAUGUGGUUUAAUUCGAAGCAACGCGAAGAACCUUACCAGGUCUUGACAUCCCAUUGACCGCUAUGGAGACAUUAGCUUUCCCUUCGGGGACAGUGGUGACAGGUGGUGCAUGGUUGUCGUCAGCUCGUGUCGUGAGAUGUUGGGUUAAGUCCCGCAACGAGCGCAACCCUUGUUCUUAGUUGCCAUCAUUUAGUUGGGCACUCUAAGGAGACUGCCGGUGACAAACCGGAGGAAGGUGGGGAUGACGUCAAAUCAUCAUGCCCCUUAUGACCUGGGCUACACACGUGCUACAAUGGACGGUACAAACGGUUGCCAACCCGGCGAGGGGGAGCUAAUCCGGAUAAAACCGUUCUCGAGUUCGGAUUGUAGGCUGCAACUCG